rnacentral:rRNA from 1 species
UGGGGAAUUUUGGACAAUGGGCGAAAGCCUGAUCCAGCAAUGCCGCGUGUGUGAAGAAGGCCUUCGGGUUGUAAAGCACUUUUGUCCGGAAAGAAAUCCUUGGCUCUAAUACAGUCGGGGGAUGACGGUACCGGAAGAAUAAGCACCGGCUAACUACGUGCCAGCAGCCGCGGUAAUACGUAGGGUGCAAGCGUUAAUCGGAAUUACUGGGCGUAAAGCGUGCGCAGGCGGUUUGCUAAGACCGAUGUGAAAUCCCGGGCUCAACCUGGGAACUGCAUUGGUGACUGGCAGGCUAGAGUAUGGCAGAGGGGGGUAGAAUUCCACGUGUAGCAGUGAAAUGCGUAGAGAUGUGGAGGAAUACCGAUGGCGAAGGCAGCCCCCUGGGCCAAUACUGACGCUCAUGCACGAAAAGCGUGGGGAGCAAAACAGGAUUAGAUACCCCUGGUAGUCCACGCCCUAAAACGAUGUCAACUAGUUGUUGGGGAUUCAUUUCCUUAGUAACGUAGCUAACGCGUGAAGUUGACCGCCUGGGGAGUACGGUCGCAAGAUUAAAACUCAAAUGAAUUGACGGGGUCAUAGCUGUUUCCU